CACGUAGGGGGCGAGCGUUGUCCGGAUUCAUUGGGCGUAAAGGGCGCGCAGGCGGCCCGGCAAGUCGGAUGUGAAAACUCGAGGCUCAACCUCGAGCGUGCACCCGAUACUGCCGGGCUUGAGGCAGGUAGGGGAGAUCGGAAUUCCUGGUGUAGCGGUGAAAUGCGCAGAUAUCAGGAAGAACACCAACGGCGAAGGCAGCUCGCUAGGACGGAACUGACGCUGAGGCGCGAAAGCGUGGGGAGCAAACAGG
rnacentral:rRNA from 1 species